rnacentral:misc_RNA from 1 species
CCAAUAGCGUAUAUUAAAGUUGUUGCAGUUAAAAAGCUCGUAGUUGAAUUUCGGGAUUAGUACGUUGGUCGUGCCUUGGUACGUACUGGUGUAACUGAUACCUCCCUUCUGACGAACCGUUAUGCCAUUAAUUUGGUGUGGCGGGAAAUCAGGACUGUUACUUUGAAAAAAUUAGAGUGUUUAAAGCAGGCUCGCGCUUGAAUACAUUAUCAUGGAAUAAUGAAAUAGGACGUUAAUCCUAUUUUGUUGGUUUCUAGGAUCGACGUAAUGAUUAAUAGGGAUAGUUGGGGGCAUUAGUAUUCAAUUGUCAGAAGUGAAAUUCUUGGAUUUAUUGAAGACUAACUACUGCGAAAGCAUUUGCCAAGGAUGUUUUCAUUAAUCAAGAACGAAAGUUGGGGGAUCGAAGACGAUCAGAUACCGUCGUAGUCUUAACCAUAAACUAUGCCGACUAGGGAUCGGAUGAUGUUAAUUUUUUAAUGACUCAUUCGGCGCCUUACG